CCUACGGGUGACAGCAGUGAGGAAUAUUGGUCAAUGGACGAGAGUCUGAACCAGCCAAGUAGCGUGAAGGAUGACUGCCCUAUGGGUUGUAAACUUCUUUUAUAUGGGAAUAAAACGUUCCACGUGUGGGAUUUUGUAUGUACCAUAUGAAUAAGGAUCGGCUAACUCCGUGCCAGCAGCCGCGGUAAUACGGAGGAUCCGAGCGUUAUCCGGAUUUAUUGGGUUUAAAGGGAGCGUAGGCGGAUUGUUAAGUCAGUUGUGAAAGUUUGCGGCUCAACCGUAAAAUUGCAGUUGAAACUGGCAGUCUUGAGUACAGGAGAGGUGGGCGGAAUUCGUGGUGUAGCGGUGAAAUGCUUAGAUAUCACGAAGAACUCCGAUUGCGAAGGCAGUUCACUGGACUGCAACUGACACUGAGGCUCGAAAGUGUGGGUAUCAAACAGGAUUAGAUACCCCGGUAGUC
rnacentral:rRNA from 1 species